ACUCCUACGGGAGGCAGCAGUAGGGAAUCUUCCACAAUGGACGAAAGUCUGAUGGAGCAACGCCGCGUGAGUGAAGAAGGGUUUCGGCUCGUAAAACUCUGUUGUUAAAGAAGAACAUAUCUGAGAGUAACUGUUCAGGUAUUGACGGUAUUUAACCAGAAAGCCACGGCUAACUACGUGCCAGCAGCCGCGGUAAUACGUAGGUGGCAAGCGUUGUCCGGAUUUAUUGGGGCGUAAAGCGAGCGCAGGCGGUUUUUAAGUCUGAUGUGAAAGCCUUCGGCUCAACCGAAGAAGUGCAUCGGAAACUGGGAAACUUGAGUGCAGAAGAGGACAGUGGAACUCCAUGUGUAGCGGUGAAAUGCGUAGAUAUAUGGAAGAACACCAGUGGCGAAGGCGGCUGUCUGGUCUGUAACUGACGCUGAGGCUACGAAAGUAUGGGUAGACAAACGAGGUAUUAGACUACCCGUGGUAGGAUAGCG
rnacentral:rRNA from 1 species